GUCUUCGUGGUGUAGUGGUCAGCACGCUUGACGCGUAAAUGAGAGGUCCGUGGUUCGAUUCCCGGCGAAGGCG
rfam:Stegodyphus mimosarum contig72203, whole genome shotgun sequence.